CCUACGGGGGGCAGCAGUGGGGAAUAUUGGGCAAUGGGCGCAAGCCUGACCCAGCAACGCCGCGUGAAGGAAGAAGGCUUUCUGGUUGUCAACUUCUUUUCUAAGGGACGAAGCAAGUGACGGUACCUGAGGAAUAAGCCACGGCUAACUACGUGCCAGCAGCCGCGGUAAUACGGAGGUGGCAAGCGUGAUCCGGAUUUAAUGGGUGUAAAGGGCGUGUAGGCGGGACUGCAAGUCAGAUGUGAAAACCAUGGGCUCAACCUAUGGCCUGCAUUUGAAACUGUAGUUCUUGAGUACUGGAGAGGCAGACGGAAUUCCUAGUGUAGCGGUGAAAUGCGUAGAUAUUAGGAGGAACACCAGGGGCGAAGGCGGUCUGCUGGACAGCAACUGACGCUGAGGCGCGAAAGCGUGGGGAGCAAACAGGAUUAGAUACCCUUGUAGUC
rnacentral:rRNA from 1 species